rnacentral:rRNA from 1 species
CGUAAAGCGCACGCAGGCGGUCUGUUAAGCUAGAUGUGAAAGCCCCGCGCUCAACGUGGGAGGGUCAUUUAGAACUGGCAGACUAGAGUCUUGGAGAGGGGAGUGGAAUUCCAGGUGUAGCGGUGAAAUGCGUAGAGAUCUGGAGGAACAUCAAUGGCGAAGGCAACUCCCUGGCCAAAGACUGACGCUCAUGUGCGAAA